rnacentral:rRNA from 1 species
CCUACGGGAGACUGCAGUAGGGAAUCUUUCACAAUGGGCGAAAGCCUGAUGGAGCAACGCCGCGUGCAGGAUGAAGGCCUUCGGGUUGUAAACUGCUUUUAUAAGCGAGAAAUAUGAUGGUAACUUAUGAAUAAGGAUCGGCUAACUACGUGCCAGCAGCCGCGGUCAUACGUAGGAUCCGAGCAUUAUCCGGAGUGACUGGGUGUAAAGAGUUGCGUAGGUGGCAUAAUAAGUAGCUAGUGAAAUCUGGUGGCUCAACCAUUCAGACUAUUAGCUAAACUGUUAAGCUCGAGAGCGUUAGGGGUAACUGGAAUUUCUAGUGUAGGAGUGAAAUCCGUAGAUAUUAGAAAGAACACCGGUGGCGUAGGCAGGUUACUGGGACGGUUCUGACACUAAGGCACGAAAGCGUAGGGAGCAAACGGGAUUAGAUACCCCUGUAGUC